rnacentral:rRNA from 1 species
CCUACGGGAGGCAGCAGUGGGGAAUAUUGCACAAUGGACGAAAGUCUGAUGCAGCCAUACCGCGUGUGUGAAGAAGGCCUUCGGGUUGUAAAGCACUUUCAAUUGUGAGGAAGGUAAUGUAAUUAAUACUUGCAUUGCUUGACGUUAACUUUAGAAGAAGCACCGGCUAACUCUGUGCCAGCAGCCGCGGUAAUACAGAGGGUGCAAGCGUUAUUCGGAAUUACUGGGCGUAAAGCGCGCGUAGGCGGAUUAGUAAGUCAGUUGUGAAAGCCCUGGGCUCAACCUAGGAACUGCAUCUGAUACUGCUAGUCUAGAGUUUAGGAGAGGGAAGGGGAAUUCCAGGUGUAGCAGUGAAAUGCGUAGAUAUCUGGAGGAACAUCAGUGGCGAAGGCGCCUUCCUGGCCUAAAACUGACGCUGAGGUGCGAAAGCGUGGGUAGCGAACGGGAUUAGAUACCCCGGUAGUCCACGCCGUAAACGAUGUCCACUAGUUGUUGGUCUUAU